rnacentral:rRNA from 1 species
AGAGUUUGAUCCUGGCUCAGGACGAACGCUGGCGGCGUGCUUAACACAUGCAAGUCGAACGGUAAGGCCCUUCGGGGUACACGAGUGGCGAACGGGUGAGUAACACGUGGGUAAUCUGCCCUGCACAUCGGGAUAAGCCUGGGAAACUGGGUCUAAUACCGAAUAGGACCACAGAACACAUGUCCUGUGGUGGAAAGCUUUUGCGGUGUGGGAUGGGCCCGCGGCCUAUCAGCUUGUUGGUGGGGUGAUGGCCCACCAAGGCGACGACGGGUAGCCGGCCUGAGAGGGUGUCCGGCCACACUGGGACUGAGAUACGGCCCAGACUCCUACGGGAGGCAGCAG